rnacentral:rRNA from 1 species
UCAAAAACAUGGCUCUUUGUACAAAAAAGAUAGGGAGUCUGGCCUGCUCAAUGAUGAUUUUCAUUAAAUAGCCGCAGUAUCCUGACUGCGUGAAAAGUAGCAUAAUAAUUUGCCUUUUUAUUGGUGGCUGGUAUGAAAUGGUACUAUGAGGGUGAAGCUGUCUCUAGCAUAUUCUUUUGAAGUUACCUAUUAGGUGAAAAGGCCUAAAUAGUUUUAUAAGACAAGAAGACCCUGUCAAGCUUUAUAGCGGGCAGGAGGUUUAAAAUCCUGUUCUGGUAUUUGAUUGGGGCAAUCGGGGAGCAAGAAGAAUCUCCCUUUUUUUUCUUCCUUCUAGGAAUGACCCGCCUAAGGCGAUCUGGGGAAAAAGUUACUGCAGGGAUAACAGCGUAAUUUUCUCUGUGAGCUCUUAUUUAAGAGAAAGUUUGCGACCUCGAUGUUGGAUUAGGGUAUCCUGAAGGUGCAGAAGCUUUCAAGGGUUGGUUUGUUCAACCAUUAAAACC